AGAGUUGAUCCUGGCUCAGAACGAACGCUGGCGGCGCGUCUUAAGCAUGCAAGUCGAACGGCAAGAGGUAGCAAUACCUCCUAGAGUGGCGGACUGGUGAGUAACACGUGGGUGACAUACCCUUCAGAUGGGGAUAGCUAUUAGAAAUAGUAGAUAAUACCGAAUACGAGCACAGGGGUUAGAGAUCUGUGAGGAAAGGAGCUAAGGCUCCGCUGAAGGAAUGGCCUGCGGCCCAUUAGCUAGUUGGUGAGGUAAGAGCCCACCAAGGCGAUGAUGGGUAUCCGGCCUUAGAGGGUGAACGGACACAUUGGGACUGAGAUACGGCCCAGACUCCUACGGGAGGCAGCAGCUAAGAAUAUUCCGCAAUGGACGAAAGUCUGACGGAGCGACGCCGCGUGGAUGAAGAAGGCCGGAAGGUUGUAAAAUCCUUUUGAAACUGAAGAAUAAGCGUUGUAGGGAAUGACAGCGUGGUGACAGUAGGUUUUGAAUAAGCAACGGCUAAUUACGUGCCAGCCGCCGC
rnacentral:rRNA from 1 species